GUUUUUCCCUCUUUCUCCCAGGUUCCUCCGGUUUAGGCUCAGCUAGCAGCAUCCAGGCAGCUGUUCGGCAGCUGGAGGCUGAGGCUGAUGCCAUUAUACAAAUGGUACGUGAGGGUCAAAGGGCGCGGAGACAGCAACAAGCAGCAACGUCGGAGUCCAGCCAGUCUGAGGCAUCUGUCCGGAGAGAGGAGUCACCCAUGGAUGUGGACCAGCCAUCUCCCAAUACUCAAGAUACUCAGUCCAUUGGUCAGUACUACUUUGCUUCUAGCUCAGCAAAAGGGAAAGUUAGAGAAGGUCUAAUGAAUCCCCUGCUCCCAAAAUCUAUAUGCUAACAGAUAUUAACACCAAAGCAUAUUGAAAUUUCUGUGAAAAAGAAACAUGGGAUGGGAAGGGAGCUGGAGUUCAGUGGUUAAGAACACCAGCUGCGCCCGGUGUGGUGGUGCAUGCCUUUAAUCCCAGCACUUGGGAAGCAGAGGCAGGUGGGGCUCUGUGAGUUCCAGGCCAGCUGGGGUUACAGGGAGACCCUGUCUCAAAAAGACCAAAAAAAGAAAAAAAACCAUCAGCUGCCCUUUGCAAAUGACCUGGGUUCAGUCACCAACACCCACACACUGGCUAACAACCAUCCAUAGCUCCAGUUCCAGGGAAUCUGCCUCUUCUGGCCUCCACAGGUUUCAUGCACUGGUGUACAUGCAGGCAAAACACUUAAGCACAUAAUAGAAAAAUAAGUAAAUUGAAAUAAUUUUUUUUAAUACACUAGGUGUGGUAACACAUACCUAUAAUCCCAGCACUUGGGGGCUAAAACAGGAU
rnacentral:lncRNA from 1 species